GCUUGGAACACUGUCUGCUAGACUUAUAGUCACAGGAUUAUGAAGUUGGGGGCUCCGUGGUGCCAGGCACCUAUGUCUGGAAAUGUGGCUUACUGUUCUGUCCAUUGUAGAGUUUUCUACUGGGUCUCCGGAACAAGCUUCGCUCAACCAAAACAGGCUGCCUUUCACGGUCCUACACAGCCAGGCAUGGAACAGGCAGCCACUGUGUUCCUGAAAUGAGACCAGCAUCUGCCUUUGAUCUGGGGUCUACGCACAGCAUGGACAAUGUGUGAGGACGGACGUGGCCAGGGGUCACCUGUCUCUGCAUCUUGGGCCAUUCAGAGCUCCGGGCCAGGUCAUUGUGAAGAGCUCCACUUCUCUGUAGGCCAUUAUGGUGAAAAGGAGUUUAGCAGACAAGGGCUCAGGACACGCCCCUUCUGUGCCCAGGCAGAGUGUGAUGUCA
rnacentral:lncRNA from 1 species